rnacentral:lncRNA from 1 species
AAAACUCCACCUGGGGUUUCCCACUCCAGACCAGCUUACCUCAAUUUCCACGAGAGGGCCAAGGUUUGAGGAGAGACCAUAAACCUGAGUAUAAGCUAAGGUUUGAGUAGAUUGCUGAAUCUUUUUACUAUACCACGUGGUUAAACUCUUAGACUAUUGAUACCGACAGAAUAAGAACAAAUCUUUGAUGCUAAUUACUAGUCUGCAGCUAGGAAUUCGGUAUCAUUGAACGUGAAGACCGACAACCGCCGAAACAUCUAUUCUAUAACGACAUGAAUGAAUGUUACUCUGAACUAUCCAUUCUAACCACGGCAGAGAGAGAGAGGGCGGACAAACUCUCCAACAGAAAUAAACUUUCCAACAGAGAUCCCGACGACACACUGAGCUCUCUCUCUUUCUCGUCCUCCUGGUUUUUGACCCUUGCCUGUCCUGACCCUGUACCCGCCCGCCUGACCACCCUGCCUGUCCCUGACCUGGAGUCUGCCUGCCGUCCUGUACCUUUGCUCCAUCUCUGAAUUACCGACCUCUGCCUGAUGUCCUAUUAUGUCUGUUUACAGUGUUGUAAUGAUGUGCAAAUAAUUAAAGUACAAAAGGGAAAUAAAUAUAAAUAUGGGUUGUAUUUACAAUGGUGUUUGUUCUUCAGUGAUUGCCAUUUUCUUGUUGCAACAGGUCACAAAUCUUGCUGCUGUAAUGUAACACUGGUAUUUCACAGUGUUUAUCAAAUUUGGAAUUGUUUUUGUAUUUUUUUUGUUCUGUGUAAUCUGAGGGAAAUAUGUGUAUCUAAUAUGGUCAUACAUUUGGCAGGAGGUUAGGAAAUGCAGCUCAGUUUCCACCUCAUUUUGUGGGCAGUGUGCACAUAGCCUGUCUUCUCUUCAAAGCCAGGUCUGCCUACGGCGGCCUCUCUCAAUAGCAAGGCUAUGCUCACUGAGUCUGUACAUAGUCAAAGCUGGUGAUUCUCUCUCUCUCUCUCUCUUUCUCUCUCUAACAAUUUAAUCAAUUUUCGAAUAAGACUGUAACGUAACAAAAUGUGGAAAAAGUCAAUGGGUCUAAAUACUUUCCGAAUGUACUGUUAUAUUACUAAAAAUAAAAACUGAAAUAUCACAUUUACCUG